UAGGCACUGGACCGUAAUUCAACACUCCGGGAUCGGCUUUGUUUAGAAAGAUCUUGACAGAACCGCUUCCCAGAAGUUAUCAGAAUGAUUGUGUCGACAAUUUUUCUCAGUUUAUUACUGACUUUCUUAUCAUGUGUCCAGUCGGAGGUUGUUUUGACCCAGCCAGAGGCAGAGACUGGCCAUCCCGGAAGCAGCCUGACACUGACCUGUAAAACCAGCGGGUUCGAUCUCAGCAGCAGCUACAUGCACUGGGUCCGCCAGGUUCCCGGCCAGGGUCUGGAGUGGCUGCUUUGGUACUAUAGUUCAUCCAGCAAUAACUAUGCACCAGCGAUUCAGGGUCGAUUUACUGCGUCCAAAGACAAUUCAAACAACAUUUUCUCGUUGAAAAUGACUAACCUGAAGAUCGAAGACACCGCCAUCUAUUACUGUGCAAGAUACCACAGCGAGAGGAACCGGGGUAUUGAUUACUGGGGCCAAGGGACCAUGGUGACUGUGACUUCAGGUAAGAACUUUGAACAUUCUUAG